rnacentral:rRNA from 1 species
CCUACGGGAGGCAGCAGUGGGGAAUAUUGGGCAAUGGAGGAAACUCUGACCCAGCAACGCCGCGUGAAUGAUGAAGGUCUUCGGAUUGUAAAGUUCUUUUCUAAGGGAAGAAGAAAGUGACGGUACCUUCGGAAUAAGCCUCGGCUAACUACGUGCCAGCAGCCGCGGUAAUACGUAGGAGGCAAGCGUUAUCCGGAAUGACUGGGCGUAAAGGGUGCGUAGGUGGUUUGACAAGUUGGUAGCGUAACUCCGAGGCUUAACCUCGGCACUACUACCAAAACUGUUGGACUCGAGUGCAGGAGGGGCAAAUGGAAUUCCUAGUGUAGCGGUGGAAUGCGUAGAUAUUAGGAGGAACACCAGUGGCGAAGGCGAUCUGCUGGACUGUAACUGACACUGAGGCACGAAAGCGUGGGGAGCAAACAGGAUUAGAUACCCUGGUAGUC